GGAGGGUGCAAGCGUUAUCCGGAUUCACUGGGUUUAAAGGGUGCGUAGGCGGGCAGGUAAGUCCGUGGUGAAAUCUCUGAGCUUAACUCAGAAACUGCCAUGGAUACUAUUUGUCUUGAAUAUUGUGGAGGUAAGCGGAAUAUGUCAUGUAGCGGUGAAAUGCUUAGGUAUGACAUAGAACACCAAUUGCGAAGGCAGCUUACUACACAGUUAUUGACGCUGAGGCACGAAAGCGUGGGGAUCAAACAGGAUUAGAUACCCUGGUAGUCCACGCCCUAAACGAUGAUUACUCGACAUCAGCGAUACACUGUUGGUGUCUGAGCGAAAGCAUUAAGUAAUCCACCUGGGAAGUACGAUCGCAAGAUUG
rnacentral:rRNA from 1 species